rnacentral:rRNA from 1 species
CAGGAUUAGAUACCCUGGUAGUCCACGCAGUAAACGAUGAAUGUUAGUCGUCGGGUAGCUAGUCUAUUCGGUGAUGCAGCUAACGCAUUAAACAUUCCGCCUGGGGAGUACGGUCGCAAGAUUAAAACUCAAAGGAAUAGACGGGGACCCGCACAAGUGGUGGAGCAUGUGGUUUAAUUCGAAGAUACGCGAAGAACCUUACCUGCCCUUGACAUAUUUUAGAACACCCUAGAGAUAGAGUGGUGCCUUCGGGAGCUAAUAUACAGGUGCUGCACGGCUGUCGUCAGCUCGUGUCGUGAGAUGUUGGGUUAAGUCCCGCAACGAGCGCAACCCUCGUCACUGGUUACUAACGGUUCGGCCGAGGACUCUAGUGAGACUGCCUUCGCAAGGAGGAGGAAGGUGAGGACGACGUCAAGUCAUCAUGGCCCUUACGGCCAGGGCAACACACGUGCUACAAUGGUUAGGACAAUGAGACGCAAUACCGCGAGGUGGAGCAAAUCUAUAAACCUAAUCUCAGUUCGGAUUGUUCUCUGCAACUCGAGAGCAUGAAGCUGGAAUCACUAGUAAUCGUAGAUCAGCUAUGCUACGGUGAAUACGUUCCCGGGUCUUGUACUCACCGCCCGUCACACCAUGGGAGUUGAUUUCACCCGAAGCGGGGAAGCUAAACUGGCUACCCUCCACGGUGGAAUUAGCGACUGGGGUGAAGUCGUAACAAGGUAACCGUA